UUUUGCUUUUGUUUAGAAGUGAGUGAGAACUUUUUGCUUUUUUGGUUAAAUUAUGCUUUUGAAGAUGGACUAGCGGAGAAGUUGAACCUGGAGCAGAUUCAAGAAGACUUUAACAGACAGGGUCAAGGAGAAACUUGGUUGCCGUGACACGCAACAAAGAGGAGAGGAAAAAAAGCUGAGAGGAUAUGAAUAAGGGAGCAGGAGAGAUGGAUGAGGGGAGUGGGGUGAGUCAGGAGAGACAGAGAUGGAUGGAGUCUGGCUGUACAGGGGCACAGCUACGAAGAGAGACAAUUCACAGAUGCACAAAGGAGAUCUGGGAGAGGCUUUGGAAAAAUGACAAGUCAAGAAGUUGGGGAAGGAGGGAUAAUGAGCAAAGACAGAGAGAAAGGAGUGUGUGUUUGUGUGCGAAAGGGAGACACCAAGGCCAAGAGGGAGCUUUGGGGGAAAAAAAGAGAAGUUUAUUGGAUAGAAUUGGGAGAGGAGAGAAAGAGAUUCACCUAGAGAGAUGCAAAAAUAAUGAGAUUCAGGAAAUGUUAGUGACAGAUAGG